rnacentral:rRNA from 1 species
UACAGAGGGCGCGAGCGUUAAUCGGAAUUCCUGGGCGUAAAGGGCGCGUAGGUGGCGGAGUAAGUCGGCUGUGAAAGCCCUGGGCUGAACCUGGGACGGGCAUUCGAUACUGCAUUGCUGGAGUACGGGAGAGGAGGGCGGAAUUCCCGGUGUAGCGGUGAAAUGCGUAGAGAUCGGAAGGAACAUCAGUGGCGAAGGCGGCCACCUGGCCCAAUACUGACACUCAGGCGCGAAAGCGUGGGGAGCUAACAGU